GGCAACCCUUAUCCACAAGUCUCUCUGCUCCUCUUUCAAACAUUGUCAAAGGCAAUAUAAUAGUUAAUAUUAUCAACUUCACUGGAUAAAAGAAGGGAACCCUUUACACAUGCUGACUCUGAAAAUCAAGCAUGACUUCCUGGAAAUACCAAAAUAGCAAACAUAUCCUGGAUACUAUCCUGGAAACUAUUGUUUUGCUGAAGUAUAAAUGGUUCUUGGUGAUAAUUCUUUUUUCUUGUGGUUCACCUAACCUACUUUUGGGAAGAUGGUUAAGAUACUGGCAUCCAGAGGCCAUUUUCACUACAAAUUAAGAAUACCAAUAAUGGUAGUGGCUUAGUAUUUAAAAUAGCUCCCAAGUUAUUGGGUGGCCAUUGUUGAUAACAAAUGGCUUGGCUAAAACAAGCAUAUCCAUGUUCAUGGCACAGAGACAGGAGUGCUGAUCCUCGCAUCCACAGAAUGUGUUGUCAUUAUCCCUUGACACAUGUUCUCAGAGAAACUAGUCUGCCUGAUCCCUGCCGCCCAGAUGCUCUCGUCUUUGUCUACGAAGUAUGAAGUGGCAUUUGUCCUGGAGUUCAGAAUUACCAAGAUGUCCACAAUACCUACUACAUCUAACGUUGUCAACGACGUGGAGCAAUGGAACUGUUCUUUCAUCUCUUGUGGAAUUCAAAAUACUAUAGCCACAUUGGGAGACAGCUUAACAGUACAGAUUGAAACAUACUCUACCAUUCGACCCAGAAAUUAUGUCUCUUUUUAUUUAACUAAAUGAAUUAAAAAUUU